CUGUCCUGGGAGAUCCAGCAGCUGGCGGCAAGGAGUGAAGCAAACAAGAUGGCUGCCACUUCCUUACAGACUCUGUAUUGGGAGGGAGACUGCCCUCAAUAAAGUUGGCUGUCGCUCCCACUGUUUUUAGUGAGGUUGAAACCAUGCUCGCAAGUACCAUCGCUGCCACCCUGCUAAGGUCCAAGGGGGCCAGAUGUGAGGAGCAACAGAGCCCCUGUGAAAGGGCAAGGAACUAUAUCCUGGAAAGAUUUUGGAUCCUGUGAUCUAGCCAGUGGGCUGAGCUACAGAAGACUUACGAAAGUUGGCUGACAGCCUGUUCGGAGCAUUUGGAACCAAGAGUUGCAGUAUCAUGUCUGGGUCACGGGGAUAUUCAAAGAGUGGAAAGACUAAGCUCUGAAGACAACAGUGCAGCAACUUCUGGUGCAUGAGAGGCCAAGGAGGAAUGAUGGACUGAGGAACUGCAGGAGGGGCAUCAGACCAGGUUGACUCUGCACUGAGUGAAGAAAAUACCCUGUAGUAUCUGAUCACUGUGGAAAGGAUCCCACUUCAAAGGUUUUCUGUAAACUGUUUACAAACCAUGACUCUCCGUGUUCUGUACGUAAGCUGAUAAAGCAUCUAUGCACUUUAAUCUUGGGUCUCUGCCAGUUUGCUCAUAUAAGUGUGAGCCCUUCUCUUGAAUUUUUGGAUACAAAGACUUACUAGCCAAAGUCUCAUUCUUGCCUUAGUAAUGUUCCAGAGGCUGAAUAAUAUGUUUGUGGGAGAAAUCAAUAACUUGUCCAGCCAAGAGCCAGAGUUCAGUGAAAAAGAAGAUGAAGAAUGGAUUCUGGUUGACUUUAUAGGUAAGAUGUUUGUUAAAUAUAACCUCUACAGCAGGAAGCAGGCAGUUA